rnacentral:rRNA from 1 species
AUUGAACGCUGGCGGCAUGCCUAACACAUGCAAGUCGAACGGUAACGCGGGGGCAACCCUGGCGACGAGUGGCGGACGGGUGAGUAAUACGUAGGAAUCUGCCCUUUAGUGGGGGACAACCCGGGGAAACCCGGGCUAAUACCGCAUACGCUCUACGGAGGAAAACGGGGGAUCGCAAGACCUCGUGCUAUUGGAUGAGCCUACGUCGGAUUAGCUAGUUGGUAGGGUAAAAGCCUACCAAGGCGACGAUCCGUAGCUGGUCUGAGAGGACGAUCAGCCACACUGGGACUGAGACACGGCCCAGACUCCUACGGGAGGCAGCAGUGGGGAAUAUUGGACAAUGGGGGCGACCCUGAUCCAGCAAUGCCGCGUGUGUGAAGAAGGCCUGCGGGUUGUAAAGCACUUUCAGUGGGGAAGAAAAGCCUAGGGUUAAUAACCCUGAGUCUUGACGUUACCCAAAGAAGAAGCACCGGCUAACUCCGUGCCAGCCGCCGCCGUAAUAC